GAUGAACGCUGGCGGCGUGCCUAAUACAUGCAAGUCGAGCGAACAGACGAGGAGCUUGCUCCUCUGACGUUAGCGGCGGACGGGUGAGUAACACGUGGAUAACCUACCUAUAAGACUGGGAUAACUUCGGGAAACCGGAGCUAAUACCGGAUAAUAUAUUGAACCGCAUGGGUCAAUAGUGAAAGACGGUUUUGCUGUCACUAAUAGAUGGAUCCGCGCCGCAUUAGCUAGUUGGUAAGGUAACGGCUUACCAAGGCAACGAUGCGUAGCCGACCUGAGAGGGUGAUCGGCCACACUGGAACUGAGACACGGCCCAGACUCCUACGGGAGGCAGCAGUAGGGAAUCUUCCGCAAUGGGCGAAAGCCUGACGGAGCAACGCCGCGUGAGUGAUGAAGGUCUUCGGAUCGUAAAACUCUGUUAUUAGGGAAGAACAAGUGCCUAAGUAACUAUGCACGUCUUGACGGUACCUAAUCAGAAAGCCACGGCUAACUACGUG
rnacentral:rRNA from 1 species